rnacentral:rRNA from 1 species
CCCCUAGAUGUUCUGGGCCGCACGCGCGCUACACUGAACAGUUCAACAAGUCUUAACCUUGGCCGAUAGGUCUGGGUAAUCUUUGAACGCUGUUCGUGAUUGGGAUAGACCUUUGCAAUUAUGGGUCUUCAACGAGGGAUUCCUAGUAAACGCAAGUCAUCAGCUUGCAUUGAUUACGUCCCUGCCCUUUGUACACACCGCCCGUCGCACCUACCGAUUGAAUGGUCCGGUGAGGCCUCGGGAUUGUGGCCGGUGCAUUCAUUUGUGUCGGUUGUGAGAACUUGUCCAAACCUUAUCAUCUAGAGGAAGGUGAAGUCGUANCA